GACGAACGCUGGCGGCGUGCCUAAUACAUGCAAGUAGAACGCUGAAGGAGGAGCUUGCUUCUCUGGAUGAGUUGCGAACGGGUGAGUAACGCGUAGGUAACCUGCCUGGUAGCGGGGGAUAACUAUUGGAAACGAUAGCUAAUACCGCAUAAUAGUAGAUGUUGCAUGACAUUUGCUUAAAAGGUGCAAUUGCAUCACUACCAGAUGGACCUGCGUUGUAUUAGCUAGUUGGUGAGGUAACGGCUCACCAAGGCAACGAUACAUAGCCGACCUGAGAGGGUGAUCGGCCACACUGGGACUGAGACACGGCCCAGACUCCUACGGGAGGCAGCAGUAGGGAAUCUUCGGCAAUGGACGGAAGUCUGACCGAGCAACGCCGCGUGAGUGAAGAAGGUUUUCGGAUCGUAAAGCUCUGUUGUAAGAGAAGAACGAGUGUGAGAGUGGAAAGUUCACACUGUGACGGUAUCUUACCAGAAAGAGACGGCUAACUACGUG
rnacentral:rRNA from 1 species